UACGUAGGCAGCAAGCGUUGUUCGGAAUUACUGGGCGUAAAGAGCGUGUAGGCGGCCAUUCAGGUCAGCUGUGAAAACUCGAGGCUCAACCUCGAGACGUCGGUUGAAACCGUUUGGCUAGAGUCCGGAGGAGGAGAGUGGAAUUCCCGGUGUAGCGGUGAAAUGCGCAGAUAUCAGGAGGAACACCGGUGGCGAAGGCGGGUCUCUGGGCCGUUACUGACGCUGAGGAGCGAAAGCGUGGGGAGCGAACAGG
rnacentral:rRNA from 1 species